rnacentral:rRNA from 1 species
AUUGAACGCUGGCGGCAGGCCUAACACAUGCAAGUCGGACGGUAGCACAGGGGAGCUUGCUCUCCGGGUGACGAGUGGCGGACGGGUGAGUAAUGUCUGGGAAACUGCCCGGUGGAGGGGGAUAACUACUGGAAACGGUAGCUAAUACCGCAUAACGUCUUCGGACCAAAGUGGGGGAUCUUCGGACCUCACGCCACCGGAUGUGCCCAGAUGGGAUUAGCUAGUAGGUGGGGUAACGGCUCACCUAGGCGACGAUCCCUAGCUGGUCUGAGAGGAUGACCAGCCACACUGGAACUGAGACACGGUCCAGACUCCUACGGGAGGCAGCAGUGGGGAAUAUUGCACAAUGGGCGCAAGCCUGAUGCAGCCAUGCCGCGUGUAUGAAGAAGGCCUUCGGGUUGUAAAGUACUUUCAGCGGGGAGGAAGGCGGUGAGGUUAAUAACCUCGCCGAUUGACGUUACCCGCAGAAGAAGCACCGGCUAACUCCGUGCCAGCCGCCGCGGUAAAAC